rnacentral:rRNA from 1 species
AGAGUUUGAUCAUGGCUCAGGAUGAAUGCUGGCGGCGUGCCUAACACAUGCAAGUCGAGCGGCAGCGCAAAGUAGUUUACUACUUGGCGGCGAGCGGCGAACGGUUGAGUAAUGCGUGGGAACGUACCCCAAAGUGAGGAAUAACCGCUCGAAAGGGUGGCUAAUGCCGCAUAUGGUCUUCGGAUUAAAGGAUUUAUCUGCUUUGGGAACGGCCUGCGUACGAUUAGAUAGUUGGUGAGGUAAAGGCUUACCAAGUCUACGAUCGUUAACUGGUCUGAGAGGAUGAUCAGUCAGACUGGAACUGAGACACGGUCCAGACUCCUACGGGAGGCAGCAGUGAGGAAUCUUCCACAAUGGGCGAAAGCCUGAUGGAGCAACGCCGCGUGCAGGAUGAAGGCCUUCGGGUCGUAAACUGCUUUUAUAAGUGAAGAAUAUGACGGUAACUUAUGAAUAAGCACCGGCUAACUACGUGCCAGCAGCCGCGGUCAUACGUAGGGUGCAAGCAUUAUCCGGAGUGACUGGGCGUAAAGAGUUGCGUAGGUGGUUUGUUAAGUGAAUAGUGAAAUCUGGUGGCUUAACCACACAGACUAUUAUUCAAACUGGCAAACUCGAGAAUAGCAGAGGUAACUGGAAUUUCUAGUGUAGGAGUGAAAUCCGUAGAUAUUAGAAAGAACACCAAUGGCGUAGCAGGUUACUGGGCUAUUCCUGACACUGAGCACGAAAGCGUGGGGAGCGAACCGGAUUAGAUACCCGGGUAGUCCACGCCGUAAACGAUGGAUACUAGCUGUUUGGAGGUAUCGACCCCUUUCAGUAGCGAAGCUA